rnacentral:rRNA from 1 species
GUCCACGCCGUAAACGAUGUACACUAGACCGGUGCGGUUUUGACGCCGUAUCGGUCGUAGUAAAACGAUAAGUGUACCGCCUGGGGAGUACGGUCGCAAGGCUAAAACUCAAAUGAAUUGACGGGGGCUCACACAAGCGGUGGAGCAUGUUGCUUAAUUCGAGGCAACGCGAAGAACCUUACCUAGGCUUGACAUGUGCGGAUUAACUCCGUGAAAGCGGAGCCACACCCUCUGGGUGGAACGUACACAGGUGCUGCAUGGCUGUCGU